rnacentral:rRNA from 1 species
UACGUAGGGUGCGAGCGUUGUCCGGAAUUAUUGGGCGUAAAGGGCUCGUAGGCGGUUUGUCGCGUCGGGAGUGAAAACCUUGGGCUUAACUCAGGGCUUGCUUUCGAUACGGGCAGACUAGAGGUAUGCAGGGGAGAACGGAAUUCCUGGUGUAGCGGUGAAAUGCGCAGAUAUCAGGAGGAACACCCGUGGCGAAAGCAGCUCUCUGGGACGGUACUGACGCUCAUGCACGAAAGCGUGGGGAGCGAACAGG